GCGCCCGUAGCUCAGCAGGAUAGAGCACCAGAUUCCUAAUCUGGGGGCCACUGGUUCGAAUCCAGUCGGGCGCA
rnacentral:tRNA from 1 species